AGUUGUGAAAAUCAAAAGAGAAUCCACUUCGUCACGGACGCCCGCACCGGCUGCCUCCUCUCUCAUGCGCGCGGCGGCGGCCCGACCUGCCCACGCGCCGAAGCGGCCGGCCUGCCGGCUGGCGGACCAAUCGACGCGGCGCGAGGAGCAGGCCAGCCGCGGGCGCCUGGAUUCGCAGGAGCCCGCGCCCUUGGUCUCCGCGCUGCGCCGGCCCGGAUGCGUGCCGCGGCCGGCCCCCGCCGUCGCGCACCGUCGUGCCUCGGGUGGUCGUCCACCAUCGUCGAUGGUCCGACCGUCGGAAGACGCAUGCCGUGGCUCUGCCGUCCCAGCUCCGUGCCGGAACUGAGGCCGCACGCCCCGGCCGACUGCCGCCGGCGCUGAGGGUCCGUCGGGCGGAGGAGGUGGCCGGAGCUCCGGCGCCCCAGCCUCGUGCGGCCAUCACCCGGGGCCGCAAGGAGGACACGGUGGCCACCCCUCAGCCCCUCGCAGCGGCGGUCUCCGCCGCUUCCGUUCCCCCCAGCGAAUGGACGCUCCCUCCAACGCUUCCCCUUCCUACAACUCCACGCGCCAUUUCCCAUCCCAUCUUCCCUAUGCCACGCCGGCCUCCUUUACCAUUGCACGUCCAACCGGGCCAUCUCCUUCCCUCCAACAACGGUUGUGCUCAAAUAUGGACGGAGGAGAAGGCAGCCGCUGCCAUGCCUCGUCCAUGGGAGUGGCGGGGCUGGCGCUGCUCUUAUGCUACCUGCAGUUCCACUCAUGCAUAAAUGCUGCCUGCUAGGUGUUUGACAGAGCGCUCCCAUGGCUGCAGGAGGUGUCCGGCCACAGCGGCAAGGACUCCAGUGGCACCAGCUGGCCAUGGCCUGCUCCCUUCCGAAUCCUUUUCUCCCUCCCUCCUGAGAUGCUUGGUUUGUGAUGAUAAAGCAGAUUCGUGGCUCAAGACACUACCUGUAAAAUUAGGAUCACACAAGAUCUACAAGAAUGUGGUGAAAUUUGUGUUCAGAGAGGAAGAAGAUGGAAUCAUUAGCGGGCCCAGCCUGUGGCAGCGUGGCGAAGGCCGAAGGGGCUAUUAGUGGCUCAUAUGACUUAAGCACCAGUACUGCUUCUUCCACUUCCUUUACUGAACUUCUUUCAGUUUGUUGAUUUGCAGGUUUAUUGUGGGACACAGACACUGAUAAAAUCAUUAACUCUUUGGAAGGUAGAGAAUUGAUUCAUCUGUAGAUUAAAACUGAGGUAUGAUACUAUUACUAUCUAAAUUUCCAAAUAAUUUAGAUAUAGUUUAAGGUCUACUUUGAGAUCCUGGCAUGGUUACAUAUAGUUUAAUAGUUUUUGCUUCUACUGCUGAGUAUAAGUGUUAAUAACAUUUUUUAUUAACCAUAUAAGGACAGGAGAGGAGAGUGCCUGGAUUUUACUGAGUAGAGAGUAUCAGCUACAUCUCGCUUCUGGCAAGUCUGCUUUACUUUUCUUGACCUGCACUGCAUUUUUCCUCAUUAUAUCAAUGCGACUGAUGAAAAUUGCAGGUCACUUAACCUCAUACUCCUUGUUACAAUUAUGUAGAUAGCUCCAAAAUUCUUCAAACUCGCCAGAUGUGUUUUAUGGUGCAUAUAUGUUCCAUUUCAACCAUUUGGACAGUAUUUAAUUUAUUUAUUUCGAGAAAGGCUAAGCAUUAUCUUGACAUACAUACAGUGACCACUUAAUCUGUUUGUGAAGCUUAGAAGCAGCAGUAAAAUUCAGGUGAGUUCAGCACUGUAGCCACUUCAUCUUUCAGUGAGUUCAGAUUGACUAUGCUGGAUUUAAUUACCAUUACAAAAAUUGCAGCAAUCCGUUGUACACAUUCAUGUACUUAUGUCUUGAUUAAUUUGCGUGCACACAAAUUAAUCAGUCUGUCAUCACAUUGUUAUAGGUUCAGUGGUCUGCUUAUACACAGUGGUAUUGUUAGAUCCAAAUUGGUGGGCUAGCAGUGACUUGGUAAGAUUUAUGCACCCUGUUUUUCUAGAGUUUUGCAAUAUUUCAGUGUUUUUAUGUACCUGUUUGUAUGUUAUCUCAGCUUCACUAGAUGCACACCACCUUAGUAUUAUUUGCUAUAUAUGCUUUGUAUGGUGCCAUAGCAGAUUGACUUCCAGUGUGCCCAUAUAAGCAUAUUUCUCUAUGGUUAUUAGUAGUGCUUCAUCAGCUUCAUCUCAUCAAGGCAACAGUACCUGCUAGGCUGCUACAGAUUCUUGUGCUGAGUGUCCAAAAUCGUCUUCCUGAGGCUUUUCCAUCCAGACGGGGGUCAAGCUCAACCACCAUGUUAGCAAAUAUAUUUAGCGCCUGGUGAUGGCCUGGCACGUCCGGCCUCCCAGCCUGUCACACACGGCACAACCAGCUUACCCCUCCUAGGAUUCUGUUUCUAUAAGUCCGGAGGUGGAUUGCCUUGGUUGUUUGUCUAUAUAUGUAAUAUGUAACCCCUCAAUCAAUCUAUCGAUUACGUGUGAUAUUCCACGCUA